UACCCGAUGGCACAUGGUGUGUGCCUGCUUCAAUUAUUGAUGUCCAUAAUCCACCAAGCAGGAGGUCCCCGUUCGAUUCGGGGUCGGGUGA